rnacentral:lncRNA from 1 species
GCGAAGAGCACCCAAUGGUCUCAGUGAAAUUCUGUUUCCCUUCACAAAUGUGCUGGAAGAGAAUUAAUCCAUUCCUGCCUCCUAGCAACCACUUACCAUUACAACUAAGGCCAAGACAGCAAGUAAACAUCCGCUGUCUGCUGCUCCACUCAGAAUUGUCACAGGGGAAAGGAUGCUGUCAUAAAUCACUACGAAAUGGUGUUGAAUUCUAUUUACACCGCACGCAGUUGCAGAAAGAUGUCCUAGAUGUCCUGCCAAAAGCCUCAGCUGUAACUCUUAAGUCAAAGGUGAUGAUGGCAUUUGGAGUUUGUAAGAUCAACAGUGCAACAGGAUCUGCUACCUGGGUGUUGAGGACCAGUCCCUCCCCAUUACAAAGUGCAUUCAGUCUGAGCUCG